rnacentral:rRNA from 1 species
UACGUAGGGGGCAAGCGUUGUCCGGAUUUAUUGGGCGUAAAGAGCGUGUAGGCGGCUUUGCAAGUCCGUUGUGAAAACUCGAGGCUCAACCUCGAGACGCCGGUGGAAACUGCAAAGCUAGAGUCCGGAAGAGGAGAGUGGAAUUCCUGGUGUAGCGGUGAAAUGCGCAGAUAACAGGAAGAACACCCGUGGCGAAGGCGGCUCUCUGGGACGGUACUGACGCUGAGACGCGAAAGCGUGGGGAGCGAACAGG